rnacentral:tRNA from 1 species
AACCCUGUAGCGCAAUGGGUAGCGCGUCUGACUACGGGUCAGAGGGUUUCAGGUUCGAAUAUUGGGAGGGUCG